rnacentral:misc_RNA from 1 species
UUUCCGUAGGUGAACCUGCGGAAGGAUCAUUACUGAGUGAGGGCUCCGGCCCGACCUCCAACCCCAUGUGAACCGAAACCUGUUGCUUCGGGGGCGACCCUGCCGUUCGCGGCGUGGGGCCCCCGGAGCCCAUCAAACCCUGCGUAACUAAGGCGUCGGAGUUUAAGCAAAUUAAACAAAACUUUCAACAACGGAUCUCUUGGCUCUGGCAUCGAUGAAGAACGCAGC